UGUGUAGGCGGACUCACAAGCGUUCUGUGAAAUACCUCGGCUAAACCGAGGAACGGCGGGACGAACUAUGAGUCUUGAGGCAAGUAGGGGUGCGCGGAACUCUUGGUGGAGCGGUGGAAUGCGUAGAUAUCAAGAGGAACGCCGGUGGUGAAGACGGUGCACUGGGCUUGUCCUGACGCUAAGACACGAAAGCGUGGGGAGCAAACG
rnacentral:rRNA from 1 species